CCUCGAGAACGAACCGAGUCCCAGAUUGGCCAGGCGGAGGUCCCACGCUGGCGUCACCACUCGAGGGACGAGGCGCCGCGCGGUCAUCACCUCAGUAAUUGAACACCUGUGUCAUUAGUUUGUGUAGUGGUCGUUAAUUGUACUUUGCAGUAGUGCAGGCAAAGGAAGCGUUAGACUCUCUAGCUUCCAUGGAGCUGGCUUUGCCGUGGGUACUGAGCGCUGGCAGCAGGGAGUGUGGUGCUGGAGGCUUGGUGUUCCCUGUCUGAUUUACUCCGUGGCGACGCCGGACAGCAGUAGGAGCGAGCCGAAAAAAAUCCUAUCCCACAAACGAAAUGUCGUCUAAAACCUCCAAUAUCUCACCCUGACUUCACUCAACGUGGCGGUGAGUAGCAGCGUCCGCCGCCUGUCACGGGACUGCCUACCUCCACUAAUGACCGACUUGGUGACGUCUGACGCCUCCAAGUCCCUGAUUUCUGUUACAGAAUACCACCACCACCUCCUCCUCCUCCUCCUCCUCCUCCUCCUCCUCCUACCUUGACAUUGCCACCUCACCCCCUCGCGUGCUUUCCUCAGCCUCCGAUCAUCACAUCAUGACCUGCCGUGCCUGUCUUCCUGAACUCCUCCUCCUCCUCCUACCUUGACAUUGCCACCUCACCCCCUCGCGUGCUUUCCUCAGCCUCCGCUCAUCACAUCAUGACCUGCCGUGCCUGUCUUCCUGAAUAGCAGCCGCGAUGUCUUCAUCUUCAACUUGCGCCUCAUUUCCUGCAAACUCGUACGUCUUCUUGAGCGGCGGGUUUGCAAGCGAGAUAAAAAGAAAAGGAAAAAAGGACAAAAGGAAAAAUAAAGAAAAAGAAAAAAACGAAGAGAGAAAACGGACAGUAGGAAGCGAACUGAAAUGCUGAAACGAUAUCGAAUGAAAAUAAAUAAAUAAAUACUACUUUUCAAAGACGGAUAUUUAAGUUCAAGAUGAGCCUUGAAAUUUUCA